GGGAACCGGGAGGAAGGAACUAUGGGAAUGAACCCGAGGAAGGCUGGACUACACCAUUACAGGGCGAGGAGGCGGCCACGCGCGAGGCAACGCUCCUUAGUGUGGCAGUCACGGUAAUAAUAGUGAGUAAAAGUAAAACUGCGUUUCAUGAGACAAGUUUUGCGCGGCUCCUCACAACGUCCCUGCGACUAUCGUGCACCUAUAGACAGCCCGUGUUAUCAAAGAAGGAAACGGGAGUCUUGACUGUUGAAAUUCUAGGAUUGGAAAGCACCAUAUUUUUCUUUUCUUUCUUUCUUUUUUUUUUUUUUUUUUUUUGUUGUUAAUGCAACAUUUCAAACAUUCACAGAAGUGGAGAGAGUAGUAUAAGGGGCCCCUCACGGAUCCAUUAGUCAGUUGGAGCAACAACCAACACGUGCCAAUCUGGUUUAAUCCAUCUUUUCCCCCAUCCAGUUGAGUAAUUCUAUGGCAAAUCUCGUGAUUUCAUCUGUGAAUAUUUCAGUAUUUAUGUCUAACAGAUUAGUAGUGUUACAAAAUGAUUUAAAAAAAGAAAAAGUCGAGGAGUGUUAAAAAACAAAAUUCAAGUAAAUUUGGCUUUAAUCAACUAAUUUAUGAACCCAACAGGAUCCUGGGUAACAAGUAGAAAGGAGCUCUGCGGAACUGUACAAAAUGGAAGGAUUUUAUAGUCAGAAGGUGGGACAGGAAAGUUAAAAGAGCGGAUCGUUCAUCAGUUGAUCUUUCCUUAUGGGAAGACAGGGGGGUCUUAUUAAAGUGCAGAUUACCUCACUAAUGCUGAUCAGGAAAUUCCCCAAUAAUUGGUUUAAAAUUAGAUUCUGGGAGAAGCUGAAACUGCAGCCAGGAUAGGUUUUAAGCCUUGAUGGUGUUUAGCAAAAGUGACUCCGCAUGGGGCCUGUUGUUUCUUUUUAACAGGUGAUACAAAUAAAUUUAAUUAAUACCUCCUGAAGCAGGCAGUCUCUGGUCCUCUUAAGAGUCCAGAGAACUGCAAAAUGGGGCGGGAGGCAAGAAGCUUUUAUAGGAUAAAAAAUAAGGAACAAGGAAGAGAAAAAAUAGAAAAUAGAUGAAGAACAAGGAAGUAAGUAUAGAGCCCGAAUUGGCUUGUAGCCAGGGCAAAGGGAUGCAAGAGUAGCAGACUCUGGGGGGGGGGGUCCCCAAACAGACUAGGUUCAGCUGCUGGCCGCUGACAAAAUCCAAAGGCAGAGCAACUGAGUGGUAGUGAAACGAGAGGAUUUUACUUCAGCGGGACCAACAGAGGGAAGACAGCUGACUAGCAUCUCAAAGACUCUCCAACAUGCCAAAAACUUCCAGAUUUAUAUAAGGAAAAUGUGGGACAAAAGUUGGUGGAUACCUAAGACAGUAAAAUUAUGGUCAAUCAUUGUCAUGGGUGCGGUCUGGCUGGCUGGGGCAGCCCUUAUGAAGGACUUGAGGUAGUUGUGGUUACCACCAUCCGAUACUUUGCCUGCAAAAAUCUUUUGCUUGAGUUAAGAAAUAAACUGGAGGGGCACCUGGGUGGUUCAGUGGUUGAGUGCCUUGGGCUGGGGUCUUGGUUCUGGGAUCGAGUCCCAUAUUGGGCUCCCCGCAGGAAACCUGCUUCUCUCUCUGCCUGUGUCUCUGCCUCUCUCUCUCUCUCUGUCUCUCAUGAAUAAAUAAAUAGAAUCUUAAAUAAACUGGAAAGAAGAACCUAAUCAAUUCGAAAGUUUGUGGUCACAAUGGAGUGGGUUGAAGUCCUCUUUCAGAUUUGGUGAUUGGGGAUUGGCUGACUAAAGCUACUGUGUUUCUGGUCAAGCAGAGCAUUUACAGGGAGACGAAAGUUCUGAGUUUCUGUUUGUUAACCUGGUAGGCAGAAUGGUUCUAUCUUAAGGCUAAGAAUUUACUUAACCCAUUUCCCUUUUUGAUCAUCCUCUUGAAUGGUUUGAUUUAAAACGUAUUAGUAUAAACUCUCAGUUACCAUGGUCUCUUCAGGUCUCAGUAUAGUAUUCACGAAAGAUGAUAUCAGGAUUGUAUUCUUGGAACUGGUUAAGUUCUCCUGUUUUCUGUUGUCAUUCCAGUUAGAAAUCAUUUUUGGAUGAUCAGUGGCUGCACACAUGCAUUUAAAACUUUUGGGAGAAAAAAAAACUUUUGGGAGAAUGUAAUGUAUAGGGAGACAGUAAUAAUGAUUUUUUAAAAUAAGACACAGGCAGAGGGAGAAGCAGGCUCCCCAUGGGGAGCCUGAUGCGGGAUUUGAUCCCGGGACCCUGGGAUCAUGACCUGGGCCAAAGGCAGACGUUCAACCACUGAGCCACCCAGGGGUCCCGACAGUGAUAAUUAUUACCAAAAAUAAUAUUCAUGAUCCAAGCCAGCCAGAAUACUGAGAAUAUUUCUUUAAGCCAGUUUGCUUGUUUAUGUAUUUUGCAUAUUUCAUGUAACUGUGUCUCCACUUCUGCAGAAGUGUUUAUCAAGCAAGCUUGUCCCAGAGAAACUGAGGCACUGGAAAUCAGGAAGAAGUCUGUCACAAGCAGAAAGAACUGUAGGAUUACUAGCAGCAUAGCAAAUCUUUACAGGUGAGGGGAAGGGAAAAGGCGGAGAAAAGAAUCAUAAAUGUAGAGGCCAUUUUUAGGCAAAUAGGUGUGAGCAAUGGAAUGUAGAAAGAGACCACAUCGACCCCCUGGCCCAAUACAGACAGGCCCCUUCAGGUGACCCACAUCAAAAUGGCCAUAGGCCCUACGAGCCAAUGGGCUACUUACAACCAGGCAUGGUUAACAAAAAAGGGAAAAUACCAUGCCGCCAUACUUCCUCACCUUCCACCUUUGAAAACAGCUCCCAGUAAAGACUCCUAACUCUGGGAAACGAACUAGGGGUGGUGGAAGGGGAGGAGGGCAGGGGGUGGGGGUGAAUGGGUGACGGGCACUGAGGGGGGCACUUGACGGGAUGAGCACUGGGUGUUAUUCUGUAUGUUGGUAAAUUGAACACCAAUAAAAAAUAAAUUUAUUU
rnacentral:lncRNA from 1 species